rnacentral:rRNA from 1 species
UACGUAGGGGGCUAGCGUUGUCCGGAAUCAUUGGGCGUAAAGAGCGUGUAGGCGGCCCGGUAAGUCCGCUGUGAAAGUCGGGGGCUCAACCCUCGAAUGCUGGUGGAUACUGUCGGGCUAGAGUGCGGAAGAGGCGAGUGGAAUUCCUGGUGUAGCGGUGGAAUGCGCAGAUAUCAGAAGGAACACCUAUGGCGAAGGCAGCACUCUAGUACGGUACUGACGCUGAGACGCGAAAGCGUGGGGAGCAAACAGG